AUUAAAUAAUUUUAUUAGGUAUUUCCUAUUUUUUAAUUUUUUUCCUUUUUAUAUGUUAAUUCCAGUUGCAGAACAGGUUUCCCAGGUAAAGUCUUCAACAAAAAGAAACUGAUGUCAGAAUUUAUGGGAAAAUAAUAAUAAUAAUUUUCUUCACAGAAAAGAAGAAACCUUUCAAAGAUCCAAGCUAAAGGGCUUAAAUUAAUCUCUCUGGUGGUUCUUGUAUCUCUUUAACGACAACCCAGUUGUCGUUUUCAACAGAACAGUGGGUGAUAAUGUUGUUUUGGGGGCUUUGAGUUUUGCUACUGUGCUUUUAUUGGUUUUGACGCAUGUGGUUGUUAAUGUGUUAGUGGGGUUGAUUAUUGCGGCCGUUGUUAUUGGCGUUCAUGCUGCCUUUAGAGUAACUGAAGGUUUGGGUCUUCUUCCUGGUGAAGAGGAGGAAGAUGGGUUGCCUUCUGUUGUUGGAAGUAUGCCUUUGAGGCCCACUUCUGGAUAUAAUAGGAUUUGAUUUGAUCUUUUUGGUGUUGAAUUCUUGCAAAGUUGUGUUAUGGGGGUUGAUUGGAGGGGAGGAAUUGGUCUUUUCAUUAGUGGUUAGGAUUUUGGUUGAGGUAUGGCUUGUGGUUUGGUGUUAUUAGUUUAAAUUUUGAGGUGCAUGAAGUUUCCUUGUGGUUGUUUGAAAUUGAACUUGAGCUGGUAUUUUGUUGUUUUUAGGUUUGACAUUGUUGUGGUCUUUGGGGUUUGUUUUGAACUGUGUUACGGGAUCAUAUGGUGUCUUUUGAUCCUGGUGUUUAUUGUUUAAGAUUGUGGGUGUAGGGUGGGAGGCAUUGGUAUGAUCCCUUUAGUGGUUCCUAUUUGAUGCAUGACUUGUUUCAUUCAUGAGAUGAUCCCCUUGAUCGUUCUAGUUUUCACUAGGAGUUGGCGCUUGGGUUAGAAUUGGAUAUAACAAGUUUUGUACUCAUUGAUUGAAUCUCGAAAGUGGCGAUAUUUUGCGGUUCAAUAGUUUGCAUAUUCUCGAAAUAUAGGAGAAUGUGUGGCUCUGCUUAUUUGAUGGUAAUGUUGGGUUCUGUAUUUUGGCUGAUUAACAUGAUUGUUAAAUG